ensembl:lncRNA
GGAAAUUCCUCUUCAUGCACAAUUACUCAAAUUUAUGUAACAGACAGUGCAGAGUACUGGUGUGAGGAUAAAGGGGGUCAGAGGAGCAACAGGGUCAACAUUACGAUAACUGAUGGUUCUGUGAUCCUACAGAGUCCAGUUUUCCCUGUUUUUGAGGGAAACAACGUGACUCUCCGCUGCAUAAGCAAGACAACUCACACCAACCAAAGAGCAAAUUUCUACAAAGACGAUGGCCUCAUAGACCGGAGCCCUUCUGACAACAUGGAAAUUAACAGUGUUUCCAGGUCUGAUGAAGGACGAUACAAGUGCAGCAUUUCUGGUGUUGGAACAUCACCAGAAAGCUGGCUUCAUGUCAGAUCAUAUUCUUCAGCAGAGACCCCGUCAGAUGACUCCAAUUCCACUCCUGACUUAUUCCUGCUGUGGAUUGUGUUUCCUAUUUUAGUGAUAAUAUUGACACUGCUGGUAGUCGGAUUUCUUAAUACUUGCAAACACAGAGUUUCCUCAAAGACAUCAUCAGCGACAAACUCACAUGGAGACCAUCCAGGAGAUGAUGACAUGUUAUAUUCUAGAGCCAUUUACACCACCUUACGCCAGGUUGAGACUAAACUCAAAGGUCUCAAAAAGAGCUGAAUGAAGACAAAAAUCACAUCUGAGAGAAAUUGACAUCGAUGAUGUAAUCCACAUUUAUCACAUAUUGUUAUUGCAAAUGAACAAGCUGUACAUCAUCUGCUGGGUAUAUAACUGAACUACAAAGAACUAUAAGUAUAAAGUUUACAUGCUAACAAACGCUUCUGAAGUUGAAUUUAAAGCACUUGUUGCUUCUGCUCUUUUUGUUUGUGCAUGAAUGCUGUUCAAAACAAAAUAA